AUUGAACGCUGGCGGCAUGCCUAACACAUGCAAGUCGAGCGAGCGGCGGACGGGUGAGUAAUGUAUGGGGACUGCCCGCUAGAGGGGGAUAACUACUGGCAACGGUGGCUAAUAACGCAUACUGUCGGAUGAGCCAUAUGGGAUUAGCUAGUAGGUAAGGGAAUGGCUUACCAAGGCGACGAUCCCUAGCUGGGCUGUGAGGCUGAUCAGCCAAACUGGGACUGAGACCCGGCCCAGACUCCUACGGAGGCAGCAGUGGGGAAUAUUGGACAAUGGGCGCAAGCCUGAUGCAGCCAUGCCGCGUGUAUGAAGAAGGCCUUAGGGUUGUAAAGGACUUUCAGUCGGGAGGCGGUACCGACAGAAGAAGCACCGGCUAACUCCGUGCCAGCAGCCGCGGUAAUAC
rnacentral:rRNA from 1 species